GAUGAACGCUGGCGGAGUGCCUAACACAUGCAAGUCGAACGAACCUUCGGGUGAGUGGCAGACGGGUGAGUAACGCAUAGAUAACCUGCCCUUAAGUCUGGGAUAACUUCUCGAAAGAGGGGCUAAUACCGGAUAUUCUCUUUUUUUCAUAAGUUAGAAAGAGGAAAGGUUUACUGCUUAAGGAGGGGUCUAUGUCUGAUUAGCUUGUUGGUGGGGUAAAAGCCUACCAAGGCGACGAUCAGUAGCUGGUCUGAGAGGAUGGUCAGCCACACUGGGACUGAGAUACGGCCCAGACUCCUACGGGAGGCAGCAGUGGGGAAUAUUGCGCAAUGGGCGAAAGCCUGACGCAGCGACGCCGCGUGAGUGAAGACGUCUUUCGGGAUGUAAAGCUCUGUCAAGAGGGAAGAUUAUGACGGUACCUCUAGAGGAAGCCCCGGCUAACUACGUGCCAGCAGCCGCGGUAAUACGUAGGGGGCGAGCGUUAUCCGGAUUUAUUGGGCAUAAAGCGCGCGCAGGCGGUAGCUUAAGUCAAAUGUUAAAGAUCAGGGCCCAACCCUGAUUCGCAGUUGAAACUGAGUUACUAGAGAUAAGGAGAGGAAAGCGGAACUCACGGUGUAGCGGUGAAAUGCGUAGAUAUCGUGAGGAACACCAGUGGCGAAGGCGGCUUUCUGGACUUAUUCUGACGCUGAGGCGCGAAAGCAUGGGUAGCGAACGGGAUUAGAUACCCCGGUAGUCCAUGCCGUAAACUGUGUUCACUAGGUGUAGGAGGUAUCGACCCCUUCUGUGCCACAGAUAAUUCGUUAAGUGAACCGCCUGGGGAGUACGACCGCAAGGUUAAAACUCAAAGGAAUUGACGGGGGCCCGCACAAGCAGUGGAGCAUGUGGUUUAAUUCGAUGAUACGCGAAAAACCUUACCAGGGUUUGACAUCUGCAGAAUCCCCUAGAGAUAGGGGAGUGCCUUCGGGAACUGCAAGACAGGUGGUGCAUGGCUGUCGUCAGCUCGUGUCGUGAGAUGUUGGGUUAAGUCCCGCAACGAGCUCAACCCUCGCACUGUGUUGCCAGCAUUUCGGAUGGGAACUCACAGUGGACUGCCCGUGGAAAGCGGGAGGAAGGUGGGGAUGACGUCAAGUCAUCAUGCCCCUUACGCCCUGGGCUACACACAUGCUACAAUGGCCGGUACAAAGGGUUGCCAAACCGCGAGGUGGAGCUAAUCUCAAAAAACCGGUCUCAGUUCGGAUUGUAGUCUGCAACUCGACUACAUGAAGUAGGAAUUGCUAGUAAACGUGAAUCAGCUACGUCGCGUUGAAUACGUUCCCGGGCCUUGUACACACCGCCCGUCACACCAUGAGAGUCGGAGACACCCGAAGCCAGUGUGCUAACCGCAAGGAGGCAGCUGUCGAAGGUGGAAUCGGCGAUUGGGGUG
rnacentral:rRNA from 1 species